GUGGAGUUUGCAACCAAGGCAACCAAAGUAGGUCCCAACUUUCAUUCUCAGACGGAUUCCUGAGAACAAUGGGGCCUAGGAGAAACAGGGGCUGCUUAAGCACUGGGAGUGUCUGUACAGCCAGCCUGGGCCUGUGCUACUGGGAGAGGGUCUCCACCUAUGGGUGCAAAGGGACAAAUGAUUCCCCAGGGAUUCCUCCUCAGCUGUGACUGGGGCCCCCAUGGCCAUCCUUCUCCAAUCCUUGAGUUGUUGGAAGAGUCCAGGGGACACCCGGGAGCUGAUGCUGGCCACACCCACCAGCCACCGGAGGCAGCCCAGGGAAGGUCCUCCUACCCCUGCUUAUGGAUAGAUCGGACUGUCCCUGGGCAGAAGUCCUGGGGCACAUACCCAUUGUCUACUACAUGGAAGGCACUUGCCAAUUCACAGCAUCUCCCAAAGGCCUUGAAGACCUGGGGUUCAGAGCCUCAUUUCCUUCAUCUUGUGUAAGCACCACUCACUUUGUCUGGGUGUCCCUGUUCAUCUGGGGGACCCCUAGAGUCAGCAUCUUUAUCCUACAAUUGCAAAUACCUGGAGUACCAG
rnacentral:lncRNA from 1 species